GAGCUGCCCAGUGAAGGGCUUUC
rnacentral:miRNA from 2 species